rnacentral:rRNA from 1 species
AGAGAGAGACAUGCGCGCAUAUCAAUAAGCGGAGGAAAAGAAACUAACAUAGGAUUCCCCUCAGUAACGGCGAGUGAAGCGGGAAGAGCUCAAAUUUGAAAUCUUCAAGGUUCUACCUUGACGAAUUGUAGUUUAAAGAAGUGUUUUCGGUUAGAGGAGUUUAGGUAAAAGUUCUUUGGAAUAGGACAUCAUAGAGGGUGAGAAUCCCGUAUUUGACCAUUAUUUCCAGCUUUGUGAUACACUUUCAAAGAGUCGGAUUGUUUGGGAAUGCAGUCCAAAAUGGGUGGUAAAUUUCAUCUAAAGCUAAAUACUGGCGAGAGACCGAUAGCGAACAAGUACCGUGAGGGAAAGAUGAAAAGAACUUUGAAAAGAGAGUUAAACAGUACGUGAAAUUGUCAAAAGGGAAGCGUUUGACACCAGUGUUGUUUUCUCGAAAAUCAAUUAAAAAUGGCGGGAUUUUGUGUUGUAUUGACUUUAUCAGCUUUCUGCACUUUUUUUCCUGUCUUUUUUAAUGCACUUUUCGUUUAACAAGUCAACAUCAAUUUCUUUUGUUGUAAAAGGGUCAUUGGAAGGUGGCUUUCUUUUCGGAGAAAGUGUUUAUAGCCUUUGACUUCUGCAAUCGGAGAGAUUGAGGUCUGCAGCGUAGAUCCUUCGGGGUUAGAUACAUUUGUGCUAAGUUAUAGCCUUUCAUAGACAACUUGUUGACUAUGAUCAGUCAUGUAGCUUACUCGCUGAUGUCAUUUUACCUACGCUUAGGAUGUUGACAGCAGUAUAGACUGU